CCAAGUUUUCUGAACAAGAAAAGUGUAAUAAUAUAAAUAUAUAUAAAUAUAUAUUUUAUUGUUGGACAUAAGACUGUUAAAAACACCAAAUCAGCUCCAAGCUACUUUAAUUUAUGUCAUCUGUUCCAAAGUAUUACCACACCAUAGAGAUACAAAAAUAUCAUAUAUUUAGGAUGUGAGCUUUGAUGUGAGGUUUGAAAUGAUUGUUUUAGCCAAAUAUCUGUUUGGGGUACUUUGCAUUCUUCAAAUUAUUUGUCAUUUAUGUUCUGGCCCCAUGACCAUCCACUCAUUUUGUUUCUAAAACUAGUUCAGUGGUCACCAACCCAUCGAUCGACUGGUCGAUCCUUUAAGGCGUUUCUAGUCGAUCGACAAACAUUUCUGUAAAAAAAAAAUUUUUAAACUCAUGAUAAAUAAUUCCAUUCAUGUUUUCUUUCAUUGUUUGUGCUAUUGGUGGUAGGUGCACUUGAUUCAGCAGCCCUAGUGUUGUUGGUGGUAGGUGCACUUGAUUCAGCAGCCCUAGUGUUGUUGGUGGUAGGUGCACUUGAUUCAGCAGCCCUAGUGUUGUUGGUGGUAGGUGCACUUGAUUCAGCAGCCCUAGUGUUGUUGGUGGUAGGUGCACUUGAUUCAGCAGCCCUAGUGUUGUUGGUGGUAGGUGCACUUGAUUCAGCAGCCCUAGUGUUGUUGGUGGUAGGUGCACUUGAUUCAGCAGCCCGAGUGUUGUUGGUGGUAGGUGCACUUGAUUCAGCAGCCCUAGUGUUGUUGGUGGUAGGUGCACUUGUUUCAGCAGCCCUAGUGUUGUUGGUGCACUUGAUUCAGCAGCCCUAGUGUUAUUGGUGGUAGGUGCACUUGAUUCAGCAGCCCUAGUGUUGUUGGUGGUAGGUGCACUUGAUUCAGCAGCCCUAGUGUUGUUGGUGGUAGGUGCACUUGAUUCAGCAGCCCUAGUGUUGUUGGUGGUAGGUGCACUUGAUUCAGCAGCCCAAGUGUUGUUGGUGGUAGGUGCACUUGAUUCACUUCACCCUAGUGCGGUGAAGGCCAAGUGUUCCCAUUUCUUUUUGAACCAUUUCAUAUGUCUGAAGGUAGAACUCUGCCUAUCCAGCAGGCCCUGAGAGCAAAUCAAGCGCACCUAUAGGCCUACCGUUAGCCAAUCAGAUAACUGUGCAGAGCUUUCUUGAAUGUAAAAAGAAGCCUUGAACUCACAGCCAAGAUGACACUGGAAAAUGUUAAACCUUUUUUUUUUUAAACAAUGACUAGAGAGACAGCAAAACACUGCUGUUGUUAUUCAGCAACAACACACGUGUAUAUAUAAAAAAUAACAAUAAACAACAACAAAACAUAACAAUAAACAACAACAAAACAUAACAAUAAACAACAACAAAACAAUCUGAGCAGUAGAUCUCCGCUUGCAUUUUGACUCCAAGUGAUCGUGACUCAGGGGAAAAGUUGGAUGAUCUCUGCUCUUGGUCCUGUCCCCACCCCUGGGUGUUUUUUAUUUUCUUUCCAUAGCGCUACACAGCUGAUUCAAAUAAUCCCGUUUUAUUGGUCACAUACACAUGGUUAGCAGAUGUUAAUGGUCACAUACACAUGGUUAGCAGAUGUUAAUGGUCACAUACACAUGGUUAGCAGAUGUUAAUGGUCACAUACACAUGGUUAGCAGAUGUUAAUGGUCACAUACACAUGGUUAGCAGAUGUUAUUGGUCACAUACACAUGGUUAGCAGAUGUUAAUGGUCACAUACACAUGGUUAGCAGAUGUUAUUGGUCAUAUACACAUGGUUAGCAGAUGUUAAUGGUCACAUACACAUGGUUAGCAGAUGUUAUUGGUCAUAUACACAUGGUUAGCAGAUGUUAAUGGUCACAGACACAUGGUUAGCAGAUGUUAUUGGUCACAUACACAUGGUUAGCAGAUGUUAAUGGUCACAUACACAUGGUUAGCAGAUGUUAAUGGUCACAUACACAUGGUUAGCAGAUGUUAAUGGUCACAUACACAUGGUUAGCAGAUGUUAAUGGUCACAUACACAUGGUUAGCAGAUGUUAAUGGUCACAUACACAUGGUUAGCAGAUGUUAAUGGUCACAUACACAUGGUUAGCAGAUGUUAAUGCGAGUGUAGCGAAAUGCUUGUGCUUCUAGUUCUGACAAUGCAGUAAUAACCAACGAGUAAUCUAACCUAACAAUUCCCCAACUACUACCUUAUACACAGUGUAAAGGGAUAAAGAAUAUGUACAUAAAGAUAUAUGAAUGAUUGACGGUACAGAACGGCAUAGGCAAGAUGCAGUAGAUGGUAUUGAGUACAGUAUAUACAUAUGAGAUGAGUGAUGUAGGGUAUGUAAACAUUAUAUUAAGUGGCAUUGUUUAAGCUUUGAUUAUUUGAAGAAAAAAAAAACUGAACGUGCACCCAGGGUUUGGGAGACCCUGCUCUAGAUGAUUGGAUAGGUGACUGGCCUAUUAGAGGGCAAGCAGAAGCUACUACCUAUCCAAUCAUCUCACACCUGCCUAGGGGAUGAUCUGGAAUUGAAUACAAAUCUCUUUAAGGCAGGGGUGGGUUGUGGAUGUAACCCUUGUUCCCC